rnacentral:rRNA from 1 species
CCUACGGGAGACAGCAGUGAGGAAUAUUGGUCAAUGGACGCAAGUCUGAACCAGCCAAGCCGCGUGCAGGAAGACGGCUCUAUGAGUUGUAAAAUGCUUUUGUACGAGGGUAAACGCAGAUACGCGUAUCUGUAUGAAAGUAUCGUAAGAAAAAGGAUCGGCUAACUACGUGCCAGCAGCCGCGGUAAUACGGAGGAUGCAAGCGUUAUCCGGAUUUAGUGGGUGUAAAGGGUGCGUAGGCGGACGGUUAAGUUAGAGGUUAAAGUGCGAGGCUCAACGUCGGAAUUGCCUCUGAUACUGUCCGUCUAGAGAUUAGUUGCGGUAGGCGGAAUGUAUGGUGUAGCGGUGAAAUGCUUAGAGAUCAUGCAGAACUCCGAUUGCGAAGGCAGCUUACCAAGCUACUUCUGACGCUGAGGCACGAAAGCGUGGGGAUCAAACAGGAUUAGAUACCCCAGUAGUC